UACGUAUGGUGCAAGCGUUAUCCGGAUUUACUGGGUGUAAAGGGAGCGCAGGCGGCGCGGCAAGUCCGAUGUGAAGACCCCCGGCUCAACCGGGGGACUGCAUUGGAGACUACCGGGCUGGAGUGCCGGAGAGGUAGGCGGAAUUCCUGGUGUAGCGGUGAAAUGCGUAGAUAUCAGGAGGAACACCAGUGGCGAAGGCGGCCUACUGGACGGUGACUGACGCUGAGGCUCGAAAGCGUGGGGAGCAAACAGG
rnacentral:rRNA from 1 species